CUACGUGCCAGCAGCCGCGGUAAUACGUAGGGUGCGAGCGUUAAUCGGAAUUACUGGGCGUAAAGCGUGCGCAGGCGGUUUGUUAAGACCGAUGUGAAAUCCCCGGGCUCAACCUGGGAACUGCAUUGGUGACUGGCAGGCUAGAGUAUGGCAGAGGGGGGUAGAAUUCCACGUGUAGCGGUGAAAUGCGUAGAGAUCUGGAGGAAUACCGGUGGCGAAGGCGGCCCCCUGGACAAAGACUGACGCUCAGGUGCGAAAGCGUGGGGAGCAAACAGGAUUAGAUACCCUGGUAGUCCACGCCGUAAACGAUGUCGACUUGGAGGUUGUGCCCUUGAGGCGUGGCUUCCGGAGCUAACGCGUUAAGUCGACCGCCUGGGGAGUACGGCCGCAAGGUUAAAACUCAAAUGAAUUGACGGGGGCCCGCACAAGCGGUGGAGCAUGUGGUUUAAUUCGAUGCAACGCGAAGAACCUUACCUACUCUUGACAUCCAGA
rnacentral:rRNA from 1 species